GACGAACGCUGGCGGCGUGCUUAACACAUGCAAGUCGAGCGGGGAUGUAUGCUGGAAGCCUUCGGGUGAAAGGGAUAUAUUCUAGCGGCGGACGGGUGAGUAACGCGUGAGUAAUCUAUCCCUCAGCGGGGGAUAACACAAUGAAAAUUGUGCUAAUACCGCAUGAGACCACGGUGUCGCAUGGCACAGAGGUCAAAGGAGCAAUUCACUGAGGGGUGAGCUCGCGUCCCAUUAGCUAGUUGGUGAGGUAACGGCCCACCAAGGCAACGAUGGGUAGCCGGCCUGAGAGGGCGAUCGGCCACACUGGAACUGAGAGACGGUCCAGACUCCUACGGGAGGCAGCAGUGGGGAAUAUUGGGCAAUGGGGGAAACCCUGACCCAGCAACGCCGCGUGAGGGAAGAAGGCUUUCGGGUCGUAAACCUCUGUCCCAUGUGAAGAGAAGAAGACGGUAGCAUGGGAGGAAGCCCCGGCUAACUACGUGCCAGCCGCCGCAGUAACAC
rnacentral:rRNA from 1 species